rnacentral:rRNA from 1 species
AGGACGAACGCUGGCGGCGUGCUUAACACAUGCAAGUCGAACGAGACCCUUUCUUCGGAGAGGUGUCCUAGUGGCGAACGGGUGAGUAACACGUGGGCAACCUGCCCUCAGCUCUGGGAUAACUCCAAGAAAUUGGGGCUAAUACCGGAUAUGACUGCUGACCGCAUGGUCUGGUGGUGGAAAGAUUUAUCGGCUGGGGAUGGGCCCGCGGCCUAUCAGCUUGUUGGUGGGGUAGUGGCCUACCAAGGCGACGACGGGUAGC